GUGGGGAAUUUUGGACAAUGGGCGCAAGCCUGAUCCAGCAAUGUCGCGUGCAGGAAGAAGGUUUUCGGAUCGUAAACUUCUAUCCUUGGUGAAGAUAAUGACGGUAGCCAAGAAGGAAGCCCCGGCUAACUACGUGCCAGCAGCCGCGGUAAUACGUAGGGGGCAAGCGUUGUCCGGAAUGAUUGGGCGUAAAGGGCGCGUAGGCGGCCUGGUAAGUCUGGAGUGAAAGUCCUGCUUUUAAGGUGGGAAUUGCUUUGGAUACUGUCGGGCUUGAGUGCAGUAGAGGUAAGUGGAAUUCCCGGUGUAGCGGUGAAAUGCGUAGAGAUCGGGAGGAACACCAGUGGCGAAGGCGACUUACUGGACUGUAACUGACGCUGAGGCGCGAAAGUGUGGGGAGCAAACAGGAUUAGAAACCCGUGUAGUCC
rnacentral:rRNA from 1 species